rnacentral:rRNA from 1 species
AGUUUGAUCCUGGCUCAGGAUGAACGCUGGCGGCGUGCCUAAUACAUGCAAGUCGAGCGAAUGGAUUAAGAGCUUGCUCUUAUGAAGUUAGCGGCGGACGGGUGAGUAACACGUGGGUAACCUGCCCAUAAGACUGGGAUAACUCCGGGAAACCGGGGCUAAUACCGGAUAACAUUUUGAACYGCAUGGUUCGAAAUUGAAAGGCGGCUUCGGCUGUCACUUAUGGAUGGACCCGCGUCGCAUUAGCUAGUUGGUGAGGUAACGGCUCACCAAGGCAACGAUGCGUAGCCGACCUGAGAGGGUGAUCGGCCACACUGGGACUGAGACACGGCCCAGACUCCUACGGGAGGCAGCAGUAGGGAAUCUUCCGCAAUGGACGAAAGUCUGACGGAGCAACGCCGCGUGAGUGAUGAAGGCUUUCGGGUCGUAAAACUCUGUUGUUAGGGAAGAACAAGUGCUAGUUGAAUAAGCUGGCACCUUGACGGUACCUAACCAGAAAGCCACGGCUAACUACGUGCCAGCAGCCGCGGUAAUACGUAGGUGGCAAGCGUUAUCCGGAAUUAUUGGGCGUAAAGCGCGCGCAGGUGGUUUCUUAAGUCUGAUGUGAAAGCCCACGGCUCAACCGUGGAGGGUCAUUGGAAACUGGAGACUUGAGUGCAGAAGAGGAAAGUGGAAUUCCAUGUGUAGCGGUAAAUGCGUAGAGAUAUGGAGGAACACCAGUGCGA